rnacentral:rRNA from 1 species
AUUGAACGCUGGCGGCAGGCCUAACACAUGCAAGUCGAGCGAGCGGAGGACGGGUGAGUAAUGUCUGGGAAACUGCCUGAUGGAGGGGGAUAACUACUGGAAACGGUAGCUAAUACCGCAUACCAUCAGAUGUGCCCAGAUGGGCUUGGCUAGUAGGUUGGGUAACGGCUCACCUAGGCGACGAUCCCUAGCUGGUCGGAGAGGAUGACCAGACACACUGUAACUGAGACCCGGUCCAGACUCCUACGGGAGGCAGCAGUGGUGAAUAUUGCACACUGGGCUCAAGCCUGAUGCAUCCAUGCGGCGUGUGUGAAGAAGGCCUUCGGGUUGUAAAGCACUUUCAGCGGGGAGGCGUUACCCGCAGAAGAAGCACCGGCUAACUCCGUGCCAGCAGCCGCGGUAAUAC